UACAGAGGGUGCGAGCGUUGUCCGGAAUCACUGGGCGUAAAGGGCGCGUAGGCCGCUCAGUAAGGUUGCGGUGAAAGCCCGGGGCUCAACCCCGGGUCGGCCGUGGCAACUGCUGGGCUGGAGCACUGUAGAGGCAGGUGGAAUUCCGGGUGUAGCGGUGGAAUGCGUAGAGAUCCGGAAGAACACCGGUGGCGAAGGCGGCCUGCUGGGCAGUAGCUGACGCUGAGGCGCGACAGCGUGGGGAGCAAACAGG
rnacentral:rRNA from 1 species